rnacentral:miRNA from 1 species
AAAGUGCAUCCAUUUUGUUAGU